rnacentral:rRNA from 1 species
CCUACGGGGUGCAGCAGUGGGGAAUAUUGGACAAUGGGCGAAAGCCUGAUCCAGCCAUGCCGCGUGUGUGAAGAAGGCCUUCGGGUUGUAAAGCACUUUCAGUGGGGAAGAAAGCCUUGGGGCUAAUACCCUCGAGGAAGGACAUCACCCACAGAAGAAGCACCGGCUAACUCCGUGCCAGCAGCCGCGGUAAUACGGAGGGUGCGAGCGUUAAUCGGAAUUACUGGGCGUAAAGCGCGCGUAGGCGGUCUGAUAAGCCGGUUGUGAAAGCCCCGGGCUCAACCUGGGAACGGCAUCCGGAACGGUCAGGCUAGAGUGCAGGAGAGGAAGGUAGAAUUCCCGGUGUAGCGGUGAAAUGCGUAGAGAUCGGGAGGAAUACCAGUGGCGAAGGCGGCCUUCUGGACUGACACUGACGCUGAGGUGCGAAAGCGUGGGUAGCAAACAGGAUUAGAUACCCGAGUAGUC